rnacentral:misc_RNA from 1 species
CGGGCCAGUAUUAAGCAUUACCCCGUGGUGGGGUUCCCGAGCGAUCAUAAGGGAGCUGACUGCAAAUCUGCCGUCAUCGACUUCAAGGUUCGACUCGAGCAAUAGUGAGAGAACGUUGCCGCAGGCAACGGUCCGAAGGGUGAGGAGCUUUAGCUCCGAAUAAUCCUUCCCGCUAUAGAA